GACGCGGUGGCCUAAUCAGUGGUUAGUGCGCUGGACUCCGGACCGAGCGGUCCGCGGGUUCGAGCACUGGCUGCUUUA